UUCCGGUUGAUCCUGCCGGACCCGACUGCUAUUUGGGUGAGAAUAAGUCAUGCGAGUUGAAUGGAAUACCUAAAUUUUCCAUGGCAAACUGCUCAGUAACACAUGAUCAACUUACCCUAUAGAGAAAAAUAACCUCGGGAAACUGAGGAUAAUGUUUCAUAGUUGAAAAGGCUUGGAAAAGUUUUUCAAUCAAAAGGAUAAAAAAAAUGGUUUUUAUCCGCUAUAGGAUAGGAUCGUGGUCGAUUAUGGUUGUUGGUGAGGUAAUGGCUCACCAAGCCGAUAAUCGAUAGGGGCCGUGAGAGCGGGAGCCCCGAGAUGGGUACUGAGACAACGACCCAGGCCUUACGAGGCGCAGCAGGCGCGAAACCUCCGCAAUACACGAAAGUGUGACGGGGUUACCCAAAGUGUUCAAUUUUGAACUGUGGUAGGUGAGUAAUGUUCCCUACUAGAAAGGAGAGGGCAAGGCUGGUGCCAGCCGCCGCGGUAAAACCAGCUCUUCAAGUGGUCGGGAUAAUUAUUGGGCUUAAAGUGUCCGUAGCCGGUUUAGUAAGUUCCUGGUAAAAUCGGGUAGCUUAACUAUCUGUAUGCUAGGAAUACUGCUAAACUAGAGGGCGGGAGAGGUCUGAGGUACUACAGGGGUAGGGGUGAAAUCUUAUAAUCCUUGUAGGACCACCAGUGGCGAAGGCGUCAGACUGGAACGUGCCUGACGGUGAGGGACGAAAGCCAGGGGAGCGAACCGGAUUAGAUACCCGGGUAGUCCUGGCCGUAAACGAUGCAUACUAGGUGAUGGCAUGGCCAUGAGCCGUGUCAGUGCCGUAGGGAAACCGUUAAGUAUGCCGCCUGGGAAGUACGGUUGCAAGGCUAAAACUUAAGGGAAUUUGCGGGGGAGCACCACAAGGGGUGAA
rnacentral:rRNA from 1 species